UCUUGGAGCAAAGAGCUUUCCACUGUGCAGCUUUCCCCCAGGGACUGUGAGGAGCUUUAUGGAUCUUAAUGAAAACAACCCAGGUGAUGCAACGUGAUGUCGAGUCUGAAAGCUGAAUACUUUCUCUUGCAGCAUAGUCCAAAAACAACGCUGAAGAUCUAAAGAUGAAGUGCAGUCAGCACCUCAUGAUCGUUGUUACUUUGUCUCUGGAUUAUGCCUCGUGUUCUGUCAUGGAUUAUAAAACCUCACUCACCGUACCUCCGAUGUGCAUGUGUGUGCACAUUGAUUCCCAAACCCCAGUUCCACGAAGAAACAGGACUAACAAUAAAAAUAAAAUUGGCUUGGUUAAACUUGAA